AUGUAUUUGCUUUCUUCACACAAAGAACUGUUUUCACUUGUUUUCUCAUUUGUAUUCUAAACCCUUAAAAUAUAGGGGUUUAUUUUUCUCUUCACAUAGCAGCUAGUACACAAAGGAUUCUUAGAAUGUUGCUGUCUGAAAAUAGUAAAAGGCUAUGUGCAGUGAUAACUAUAUUAAAAUUUUUUCCCCAGGAGUACACUUGUAUUUUGGAGAGUUAAUAAUUGCAGGAAUUUUAGGUGGAUUUUUUUUUUUUUUUCUUUUGUCUUUUUGUUGUUGUUGUUGUUGUUGUUGCUAUUUCUUGGGCCGCUCCCGCGGCAUAUGGAGGUUCCCAGGCUAGGGGUUGAAUCGGAGCUGUAGCCACCGGCCUACGCCAGAGCCACAGCAACACAGGAUCCGAGCUGCGUCUGCAACCUACACCACAGCUCACGGCAACACCGGAUCGUUAACCCACUGAGCAAGGGCAGGAACCGAACCCGCAACCUCAUGGUUCCUAGUCGGAUUCGUUAACCACUGCGCCACGACGGGAACUCCUAGGUGGAUUUUUGACAGUAAUACAGUGCCCACUUGAUUAAAUUUGAAUGUGUUUUAGUUAAUACAAUUUUUAUGUUACUUAUUCAUGUAUAUAAGAUGAUUUGAAAGGCAGGACAGCUAUAAUUUGUUAAGGUACUUUAUGUUUUAAUUUCCACAAAUACCAUGCAAGGUGAGUAUUAUUCCCAUUUUAUAGAUGAGAGAAUUAAAAUUGAGAGUUCCCGUUGUGGCUCAGUGAAAACAAAUCUGACUAGGAACCAUGAGGUUGCAGGUUCAAUCCCUGGCUAGGGGUCGAAUCGGAGCUGUUGCCCACCGGCCUACGCCAGAGCCACAGCAACUCGGGAUCCGAGCCGCGUCUGCAACCUACACUACAGCUCACGGCAACGCCGGAUCGUUAACCCACUGAGCAAGGGCAGGGACCGAACCCACAACCUCAUCGUUCCUAGUCGGAUUCGUUAACCACUGCGCCAUGACGGGAACUCCCCAAGCACAGAUUCUUAAAAAAACAAUGUAUAUACAUGUCAGGAUUUUUUUAAUGCCAGAUUUUGUAGAUCUGAUAUCAUAUUUAAAAAAACAAUUUUUCAUACCAAGAGGGAUACUCCAGGUGUGUGUUGUUCAUGAGUUGUGUUAAGAGAACAUUUUUUUUUUUCCUACUUGCUGUCCUUAGGAAAGUGAGAAUUAUGUCUAUCUGUUCCGUCUCUCUACCUAUUUGUUGAGUGAAAGAAUGAGUGAGUAGAUGAAUGAAGGACCAAAGAUAGGAUAUAAAUGAUUUCUUCUGCAUCUCCUUAGAACCUGCUAUCAGGGAUCUUUUCAAGCUAUAGUAUAAUUACUGCUUUAUCUUUUUGUUUUUUUACUACCCUGUUACCUUGUGAGCAGAAUUACUCUAAUUAUCCUAAAGUACUCAGGAACUUUUUAUUAAGUAAAUGAAUGGCAUAUUGGUAGAAAUUGCUGAAAUACAUUUGGUAAAUAUUUUUAGAAUUGAAUAACAUUUUUUGAGAUUUGAAUUAUAAUUGAUUGCCAUUAUUGCUCAGCUGUGUCGCUUUCAACUCAGAGCCUUAGUUUCUUUACCCAUAAAAUGAAUGCUUGGACUUGAGAAGUUGCUUCUGUCAGUUUUUAGAUUUUGAUGCUUUUAUUUUAUUUUUUCCUUUUAAGGGCUGCACCCAUAGCAUAUGGAACUUCCCAGGCUAGGGGUCGAAUCAGCCUCAUCUGCUAGCCUGUACCACAGUCACAGCAAUGCCAGAUCCAAGUUGUGUCUGCGACCUACACCACAGCUCACAGCAACACUGGAUCUUUGGUCCACUGAGCAGGGCCUAGGAUUGAACCUGCAUCCUUAUAGAUAUUAGUUGGGUUCUUAACCUGCUGAGCCAUGACAGGAACCCCUUGAUGAUUUUAAAUACCAAAUGAGUAAAUAUUAAUUUAGAGAAGGAAAAGGAUUAUUAUGGGGUGUGAGGUUUGGAAAAGCUUAUCGGAGAUUAGUCCUGAGUGGUACUUAAAGUGAUGCGACAGGGAGGGUGGUGGUUUGGCAUUCAGAGUAAAAGGGGAAAAAAUACUGAAAGGGUAAAAUUUCAUGUGAGGUUAUCGGGGUAGGAAUAUGCAAACUACAUGUGGACUGCAGUGACUAGAUGAAUCUAGCAUGGUGAUAUGGUGCGAGAGUCAUGGGAAGUUAGCUUGAAGAUAUAGGAUGGGCACAGCCUUAAGAGCUGUGGAUAUCAGUUUGUUUUUUAUUCCUUAAGGGUAUUGACAAAAAUAGUCAAUACACAAGCCGUAAGAGAAAUAGAAAAGUUUCAGUUGAGCCAAACUGAAGACUAUAGUCUGGAAGACGGCCUGUCAGAUAACUCAGACCUGCUCUGGAGGAGCACGGUUUUCAGCACAGGUUUAUAUCUUGUCAGAAGAAAGACUAUCAAACAAGUCAGGGAUACAUGGCUUCAAGUUUAAAAAAAAACAACAAAAACAGAUCAGCACAUGCAGCAAGUCACUGAGGCCUUAGCACCUGGGAAGGGGGGUCUGUCUUCAAAGGAACACCCACACUGGUGUCUCAGAACAGAGGCACUUCAUCUUUAUCUUUGAUAUAGAAGUUCUUUACUUCCGGUCAUCGUGCCUUUUUCUUUAAUAGUUAAAGCAUGUGUACAAUGUAUGUUUGGUAGGCCCCAAGCAGGUGAUUUUAGUUAGCAUAAAAUUUGAAUUGACUCAUGUGUAAGCCAGAAUGACUUCCCCAUACCUCGGUGUGUGAAAAUUUAUCAAGGCACAAGGAGCUUUUGGAGUUUAUUUUUUUUAAGGAAGAUAACCAGCUGGACAAAGAGAAGCAAGGAAAUCAGUUGCAGAGCCAUCGCAGGAAUCUAGACAUGAGGUGACGGGUGUCAUGAGCAUGGUGGAGGCAGUGGCAGUAGAGUGACGGGAAGGAGAAUGGAGCCAACAUUGUGUGGUGCUUACCGUGGGGUCAGACAUUUUGCUAAUUACUUUUUAAUUACAAGGUCACUUUUUCCUUGUAACCACCCUGCAGGGUGAGCGUCCUGGUUACCUACUGCAUAACAUAGUCCUCCAAACAUAGAGCCUUAAAACAGCACACAUUGGAGUUCGCAUCAUGGCGCAGUGGUUAACGACUAGGAACCAUGAGGUUGCAGGUUUGAUCCCUGGCCUUGCUCAGUGGGUUAAGGAUCUGGCGUUGCCAUGAGCUGUGGUGUAGGUUGCAGACCUGGCUCGAUCCCGUGUUGUUCUGGCUGUGGCAUAGACUGGCGGCUACAGUUCUGAUUAGACCCCUAGCUUGGGAACCUCCAUAUGCUGCGGGAAGCGGCCCUAGAAAAGGCAAAAAGAAAAAAAGAAAAAGCACACAUUGAUUAUCUCACAUUUUCAACACGCCGGAGAUCUGAUCGCAUGGGCUCUCCAUACAGGCUUAGGUAGACCCUCCAGCUCAGAGUCACUCUCAAGGCUGCAGUCAUCUCAAGGCUUGACUGGGAAAGAUGGGCCUCCCUGCUCACUCAUGUGCUUCUUGGCAGGAGUCAGUUCCUCCUGAGAUGUUGGACUGAGGCCUCCAUCCUUCCCUCCCUUUCUGGCCAUGUCGGCCUCUUCCUCGGGCAGCUCACGGCUUGGCGUGUCUGGCUUCAGCAGGGCCAGCAAGGAAGAGGGCAAGAGAGUGACAGCCAGGUAGAGUGCCAUCAAGAGGCAGAGGAGGGAGGGGGGAUGUGGGGGAGUGCGAGUGAGAUGGACACCAGUCUUCUAACCUAAUCACUUUUCUGUAUUUUGUUCAUUGAAGGCAAGUCACCAGAUCCACCCUACACCCAAGGACGGGGUGAAACUGUCCAGUGUAUCAAGCGUAAUAUGGAGAAUAGCAGAUAGGCUGGAGAGGUAGACAGGGAGGGCGUCUAUAGCAGGCAGCCCUUUUUGACGCCGGGGGAGUAAAGCAUGUUUCAUUUUGCAAGAGGAAAGUAGAUACGUGAUAACUGUCCAUUUUGAUUUUUAAACUCCAAACUUCUGCAUUCCUCCUGGAAAUGGAAUUACCUUAAAGAGAGGAAACAGACUGUGCUCAUUUUCCUUUUGUUAUGUCUGGGAUAUUUCUAGCCUCCCUUGCACAUAAGAAAAUCAUUGUUAGUUUCACACAAUUUAACUUUAUGACAAGAUUCUGUUGCAAGACACUUCUGGAAAAUGUCCCAGACAAACACUGUCUCUGCAUAGCUGCAGAGAGACUGCUAUCACCACAAAGGAAAAGUAGGGAAAGUGAUUCUUGCCCUGGAGGAUUUACAAAGCAGCAGUUAGGCUUUCAACUGUUAGUUUGCUUCCUUUAAGAUACCCCCGCCCAUUCCUACCACUAUUCUCUCAUCAUCUACACAGAAGUAUUAAUCAUUAAAAAAGAGACUUAGAGCACUGUUCUUUCCCUUUCCUGUCCUGGUUGUUGGCUCAAGAAAUGACAUUACAGGUACUUAUUCUUUUUUUUUUUUUUUGGUCUUUUCUGGGGCCGAAGCCACGGCACAUAGAGGUUCCCAGGAGAGGGGUCUAAUUGGAGCUGUAGCUGCCGACCUACACCACAGCCACAGCAACGUGGGAUCUGAGCUGUGUCUGUGACCUACACCACAGCUCAUGGCAACGCUGGAUCCUUAACCCACUGAGUGAGGCCAGGGAUCAAACCUUUGUCCUCAUGGAUACUAGUCAGUUUUGUUUCUGCUGAGCCGAGAGGGGAACUCCCCUGGCGCUUUUUAAAAAAGUGCUUCAGCUUAACUUUUUUUUUUUUUUUUGGCCUUUUUUUGCCUUUUCUAGGGCUGCUCCUGUGGCAUAUGGAGAUUCCCAGGCUUGGGGUCCAAUCAGAGCUGUAGCCUCAAGCCUAUGCCAGAGCCACAGCAAUGCUGGAUCCAAGCAGCCUCUGUGACCUACACCACAGCUCACCGCAACACUGGAUCGUUAGCCCACUGAGCAAGGGCAGGGACCGAACCCACAACCUCAUGGUUCCUAGUCGGGUUCGUUAACCACUGCGCCACAACAGGAACUCCAAAAAGUGCUUCAGCUUAGAGACCAGCGACCACGAGAUGAAAUAAAAUUACCUAAGUCUUCCUCCAAACAUGUUUAUCUGGCCAGCUUUAUCUUUGGUAAAAUUUGUUUUAGUCCUCAGCUACUAAUUUAAGCACAGAAAAGCUAGAAUUCGGAAUCCAGGGUCUUUGAGUCAAUUGCCGUCCUCACGACCACACGGCUGUUUGUGAGCAUCUCUCCCUUGGCCUCGCUAAGGUCCUUCCUUUAUGGCAGGACGAACAGUGUAAAUUGGAGGGUGAUUUUUCUCCCAGCUCAUGGGAGGAUAGGUUUAACCCCAGGCAGAGAGGCCUCAGCGUUCUUUCAAGGAAGGCAUUUUAUCAUUUCCAUCUGGCUCAGCCUAGGACCAAGGUUGCUGGUGGUGCAGAGCUUACAGAUCUGUGGCGACACGGAGGCAAUAUGUGUUUUUCAGCAAACAAGGGACUGAUUUGUUGCCAUAAUAAUUUUCAGUAAUUCCCAAGGUACUAGGGAGAACAUCACGGCUCCUUUCUUGAAGGAGAAAACUGUUCAGAAAAGGAGACGUGGCUGUGGCUGCGGUGUAGGCUGGCAAUCAGCUGUAGCUCCAAUCAGACCCCUGGUCUGGGAACCUCCACAUGCUGCUAGUGUAGCCCUAAAAAGCAAAAAAAAAAAAAAAAAAA
rnacentral:lncRNA from 1 species